CCACAAAGAUCUUUUGGGGCACUGAAUAUGGGGGUCUGAAUAGCCUGCAGACUCCCAGAUUCUUGGGGAAAGAUGUUCCAAAGGGAAGUAAGGACACUGAAAGAGAGGUGAUCUUAGGCAACAGAUUGUUCAGUUUAUCCUGAGUCUAUUUUCACAGUGAUCAGAGCUUGGAUUCUGAGGACAGUGCUGAUUUAAUGUAUUUUACCGUGUUUUCUCUGACAAGGGGAAAUGCAGUUAUCAUAUUGGAGAACUACUUCAUAAUACAAUGGAGACUCAUGUUCUCGGUUUGUUUACGGUCAAUUAGCCUCUGACUAUACUCUUUGUUGGAAUUAGUGAUUCCCAUCAAUUUCAUUGUCUUUAUUGGGCCCUGUCAAGGGAGAAAGUAGUCUUAUCCAAUCCAUCCACUGGGAAAAGCUAGUGACUUGAUCAGCUGUCCACCCAGCAUGUCUCCCUUUUAAAAGACCACAGAGAAAGGGGAACAGGCAUUCAGGACCACUUGGAGGAAAUACCUUCGCGAAGGUAAAGACUUUGAAUUCUAGCAGUCACCUACGAUGUCUGUGUCAGUCUGAACCUCGCAACGAUAAUUUUCAACUUCAAUAAGGUCAACAAAUUAACCAUGUCUUCUACUUGACUGGGUCUCUGAAAACUGUGUAGGAAGUAUCGAGAUUUGGCUGUUGCAUCAGCAGUGAUGAUGCAACAAUGGUUGGUAAGUGGCAGCACUAGCCUUAUGGAUGUAGGGGGAACCCUAUUGCUCCCCUCCUGGCAGGUGUGACUGCCCAGAUUUGGAUCUGAUAGGAGAUCAGUGUUUCCUCUGUGGUUCUAGAUUCCUUUCUCAGGAUCAUAGGAGGGUGUUAACUAUAAAGAGUUCUACAAUGGAGCCAGAUCGCUUCAAUUUGAGUCCUGUUUCAGCUACUUCAUAGUUCUGGUAUCUACUAAAACAAGUUUGAUGUACAUCGUGGAACCUUUUUCUAUGCAUACUGGUGCACAUAUAGACUUUUAAAUCUUGUACCAACACGAUAUAAAACUGAAAGGGACUGUUUUCCUCUGGAUCACACUCAUUUAUGUUUAAAAGAAGAUUUGAGGACGAAGAAACCUGUGACAGAACAGUUGGAGAAAACUGAUGGAAUCAUGCAUUGGAAGAAAUGCAGAUGAGUAUAUACAAGGAUAUUAUUUUCCCUUGUUAAAAUAUGUGAUAAUGGUCUAAUAGAGACAUGGUUACCUUUACAUUUCUUCUCUUCUGUUUGGAA